AUUGAACGCUGGCGGCAGGCUUAACACAUGCACGUCGAGCGAGCGGCGGACGGGUAAGUAAUGUCUGGGAAACUGCCUGAUGGCGGGGGCUAACUACUGGAAACGGUAGAUAAUACCGCAUACCCUCAGAUGUGCCCAGAUGGGAUUAGCUAGUAGGUGGGGGAAUGGCUCACCUAGGCGACGAUCCCUAGCUGGUCUGAGAGGAUGACCAGCCACACAUGAACUGAGACCAGGGCCAGACGCCUACGGGAGACAGCAGUGGGGAAUAGUGCACAAUGGGCGCAAGCCUGAUGAAGCCAUGCCGCGUGUGUGAAGAAGGCCUUCGGGUUGUAAAGCACUUUCAGCGAGGAGGCGUUACUCGCAGAAGAAGCACCGGCUAACGCCGUGCCAGCAGCCGCGGUAAUUC
rnacentral:rRNA from 1 species